GGAAGGGCGGGAAGCUGGCCAGGGAGCGGGAAUCAAGACGGUUGCGUCCUCACCGCGCUCAGCCUCCUUGGGACGGGCGAGCCCGGCGGCCCUUGCGUGUUGCCGGGGGAAGGAAACGCGCCGCCUGACUAAGGGGCUGGCCCUGGGGUUCCCCCUCCCGCCCCCGGUGAGGAGCCUGGCCGCGCCUGGAGAUAGCGCGCGCCCCCCCGGGCGAAAGACCGCAGCCAAGCAGUACUCCAAGCCGUAAUCCCGAGGACCGCAGAAAUGGGGGCUGCACAUGCGCCUAGACGACAGCGCGGCAAGCGGGCGGCCGCGGCUCACGCCGGAGCGCGGGUCUGUGCGUGCGGCGGGGCGGGGCUGACUCGUGAGAACUAGAGGGGCUGCGCAAAGUGAACGAGGAGAGCGGGGCGCGACCUCCACGGGAGAGGCCGUUCGAGGAGCCGCGUCAGACACUCCAGCCCCUCCCCGGUCACCCAGGGCUUCCUCGCCCCCCGCCCCCACCUUUCAGAUCAAAAAUAGUCAAGGCCCCUGCUAAUGCUGCAGACAAGAAAGCUGGGGUCCCUCCCCCCAACGCCCCACCAAGCGUGGCCCCUAAACCCUCCAAUACCUAAAUGCUCUCCCUUGGGGAGAUACGUAACGUGGCCCUCAACGUUUGAAAACGGGUCGGGACUUUUCCACCCAGCAGGAGAUGCAGAAAACAGCCUCCACUUUAAACCCUUCUUGCACUGAUUGUUCCUGUAGUCAAGGUUUCGAGGUGCCCAUGGCUGGUGCUAGACAAUGAAGGAGAUGGAAACUGAGAUACAGGGAAGGUUUAUCUUAGUAACAGUUUGAAGUUGAUUAUCACUCAUGGGCUAGUAACAGACCUGCUGGGAUCCAAAUCUGCUUAAUUUCCUGUGAGGAGUCCGGUGGCAUCUUAAAGACUAACAGAUUUAUUUGGGCAUAAGCUUUACCUGCAAAAGCUUAUGCCCAAAUAAAUCUGUUAGUCUUUAAAAUGCCACCAGACUCCUACUUGUUUUUGUGGAUACAGACUAACACGGCUACCCCUCUGAUACUUAAUUUCCUGUAUAUUUCACAUUCUGAAGCAUAACUUCAACCUAACCAUUUGUCUCUUUUCCCAUCCCCUUUGUGGGGAUGGAGCGGGAUGUUAGAGUCAGCAUGCAACCAGAUAUGUUAGGUAAAAACACAAGAUACUUGUUCCGGAAGAUUGCAACAUAACACUACUUUAUUUGUUAAAAUCCAGAACGUUAAACACUCAAGAACCAAAAACACAGAAAGCAGACUGCACAGUAAGGCAGACUGGCACAGUUCACCCCACCGUGCUGUACAACGGCUCUUUGCAGACUGCAGAAGACCCAGAUUGCACACUUCCCUGUAGAGCCCCCUAGACCGCAAGCAGGACCAGGAAAUCCCUUAUAAUUUAAAGCAACAGCUUGUAUUAUGAAUAAGGCUAUUUUUGUUUCAGCCCCAGGGGCCAAGGGACUGCAGCUGGCAGCCAUCGGGGCCCAGAAAGGAUUCCAGCAAUGGGACAGCCUCCUCAUGGAGCCCUCUGCAAGAUUCUAGCGACAAGCGACAGCCUCCUGAGGGAGCCUCCUCAGGGUUCCAGAGAUGGGCUACAGCCUCGCGCAGUAAGGGGGGGCGGGGGGAGACAAGCACAGAGACAAUUUGUUCUUCAUCUCAAGGUGACCCUCCUAAAUGGCCCUUACUGCCAAGUCGGAGCUGAUAGCUCUACAUAAGAAGGUGUCAAAAUAAAUUUGACAUCGUAAUGAGUUCCUAUCCAAUCUCUGCCGUACUACAGAACUAAGAAAAUAAUAGCUGGAGGGAAUCCUCUUCCUGCAUCUAAAUCCUGAAAAUCACACUGAAAUGCUGACACCUGCAGCCGUCCUGGAAAGCUGAGAACCAAUUCCUGUAUGGCAUUUGUGGAAGGGUUCAGCUUUUCCUGGUCCUCAAAGUCUGAAAUAGUAUCUUGUGGCGAUAGCACUGAGGGAUAAGGGCUUACAGAGUUCUACAUCAGCAGAGUAUACUGAAACAGCAUGAACUGGUGAAAGGCUGAGAGAAAGUAAAGACCAACAUCAUCCAUUAGCUCCUGAUUUAGAGAAGACAAUAUCCAGUGCCUGCUUUUGGUGACAGGCGUAGAUGUUGACAAUAAACAGUGUCCUAAAAUCACAGAUAACCAGCCAGCAAGCCAUGGGCUCAAUUACACUUGUAAAUCAGAAGACUGAGGGGUUUUUUGGUAUGUCAUUCUUUAUUGAAGUGCUGUUGUGAAAUAUAAACAAAAGAAAAUAAUUUUGAAAUGUUGGAAGACAAUAUUAGGGGUUGUGCGUAGAAAUACUAUCCAGCAUUAAAUUAAUUGUACAA